rnacentral:rRNA from 1 species
AUUGAACGCUGGCGGCAUGCCUUACACAUGCAAGUCGAACGGCAGCGGACCUUCGGGUGCCGGCGAGUGGCGAACGGGUGAGUAAAGUAUCGGAACGUACCUUUCAGUGGGGGAUAACGUAGCGAAAGUUACGCUAAUACCGCAUAUUCUGUGAGCAGGAAAGCAGGGGAUCACAAGACCUUGCGCUGAUUGAGCGGCCGAUAUCAGAUUAGCUAGUUGGUGAGGUAAAGGCUCACCAAGGCGACGACCUGUAGCGGGUCUGAGAGGAUGAUCCGCCACACUGGAACUGAGACACGGUCCAGACUCCUACGGGAGGCAGCAGUGGGGAAUUUUGGACAAUGGGGGCAACCCUGAUCCAGCCAUGCCGCGUGAGUGAAGAAGGCCUUCGGGUUGUAAAGCUCUUUCGGCCGGGAAGAAAUCGCUUAGGUUAAUACCCUGAGUGGAUGACGGUACCGGAAUAAGGAGCACCGGCUAACUACGUGCCAGCAGCCGCCGUAAUAC